GAGGGUAUAGCUCAGUGGUAGAGUGCAUGCCUAGCAUGCAUGAGGUCCUGGGUUCAAUCUCCAGUACUUCCA
rnacentral:tRNA from 1 species